rnacentral:rRNA from 1 species
GACAGAGGGUGCAAACGUUGCUCGGAAUUACUGGGCGUAAAGGGCGUGUAGGCGGGAAGGCAAGUCGGGCGUGAAAGCCCCAGGCUCAACCUGGGAACUGCACUCGAAACUGCCUUUCUUGAGUGCCGGAGAGGAAAGCGGAAUUCCUGGUGUAGAGGUGAAAUUCGUAGAUAUCAGGAGGAACACCAGUGGCGAAGGCGGCUUUCUGGACGGUAACUGACGCUGGAGACGCGAAAGCGUGGGGAGCGAACAGG